AUGUUUUGCCCAAACUCGGGGCUCUCGAGGCUGAUGAGCUCACCUCGGAGCCCCAUCCACGCCCGGCAGCCUUCGCACGAAGCGGCUGCACCGGGCUCUGAGCAAGAGAAGGGCGAAAACGGAGCGGCCGGCGGAGCAGAAGGAAGUGCCGCCGGGGCCACUCCUCCGCGCCAUUUCCUCCCUGCGCCUGGGUUUUUAUACAGAUGCGAGGGGCAGCACGGCGGCCGGCCCGUCCGAGGCCUCAGCCUGGGCUGGGGCGACCGAAGGGGAGCGCCGGCGGCCGGCCCCGAGGAGAGGCUGCGGGUCCCUGCGCUCCGUCCGGCCCCGUCCCCUGCAUGCCCUGCGGCCUCGCACGCACCGAGCUCUGCAUCUUCGUGCAGGGCAGGGACGGAGCCGGCACUGGCGCUGCCGCACGUGGAGGUGGCCGCAUCCAGACCCGAAGCCCUGCUUCCUCCUGGGGGUUUCCCCGGCAGGUCUGUGCUCCCAUCGUCGUGUCCCGCUGCCGGAGCGCAUCCUCUUCCUCCCUGCUCACCGACCGAGAAAAAAAUAUGAUGUGAAUG
rnacentral:lncRNA from 1 species